GAGCGCAACCCUUGUCCUUAGUUACCAGCACGUUAUGUGGGCACUCUAAGGAGACUGCCGGUGACAAACCGGAGGAAGGUGGGGAUGACGUCAAGUCAUCAUGGCCCUUACGGCCUGGGCUACACACGUGCUACAAUGGUCGGUACAAAGGGUUGCCAAGCCGCGAGGUGGAGCUAAUCCCAUAAAACCGAUCGUAGUCCGGAUCGCAGUCUGCAACUCGACUGCGUGAAGUCGGAAUCGCUAGUAAUCGUGAAUCAGAAUGUCACGGUGAAUACGUUCCCGGGCCUU
rnacentral:rRNA from 1 species